UCUCAUAGAAAUUCUUCAAAUUUUCAAUCUCAAAUUUGUUAAAUCGCUACUCAUAUCACCAACCCUAAUCAAGUAUGGGCUCAAUUUCCUUUUAGAUUGUAUUUUUUUGUCAGAUUUUACCUCUUUUUCUUUCACCCAUUCAUAAAUAUGUAGAAGUUAGAAGCGGUUUGAAGGUUUAAGGCAAAAGAUUCUCGAAAAUCUAUAGAUAUCAGAAGUUGUUUGAAGGUUUUAAGAAGAAAGGUUGGAAGUUUGAUAAUCACUGCGAGCUUUUGAUGUUUUCGAUGUUUUGAAGUUGUUCAAAGGCUUGUAAGGUACCACACAUGUUUUAUCCUAUGCUUGUUUUCCGUAUUUUAUCGAUUCUCGAUUUCCACUGUGUGCUCAUAUUAAUGUAGAGAAAAAUACUUUUUUAUGUUAGAUUUACUUGAAUUUUUUGUAUUGAAAAUGUAUUCUAUUGAAUUUGAAGUAUUUAGUUAUAAGAAAUUUAUUGAAAAAAUUAAUUUUUUGAACAUGUACAUUUGUUCUUCUAAUAUGGACAUGAUUGUCAAUUGUUGUAUCACCAUGUACUAUAGAAGUUCUGCUCAUAUUUUUCAAGAAGAAGAAGAAUAUCCUACUCUUUUUCUCUAUCCAUCUUGUUGAUUGACACCAAAUAGUACUUGUAGUAUGCGAAAAAUUUCUCGGAGAUAGGAAAUGUACCAAUUAACAUUAACAUGACACUAGUAUCCAAAGGCUAGAACAUCACUAUGUAUGUACUUGAGAAGUCACAUUAACAACUUAUCUAAUGCUAAAGUGUGAGAAGAAACAAUGGAAGAAUACAAUUGGGAAAUGUAGAGAACUCUACAAAUUUGUUCCCCAAAUGUUAUUUCACAUUGUUGCAUUAAUAAUUGAUUUUCCAGCCUCUUUCUUCAUUUUCAUUGAUUUUUCACUCUCUUGAAACUACACGAACACUUGUUGCAUAUAGUAGAUCAUGAAAGGUGUUGGAUAAGAGCAGGAAGAAUAGGGAGAACAAGUAUUUUUUUUCUUUUUUUUGACUAAGAUCUUCUGAUAAGAUAGAAGCUGAGGAAAACGAGUACCAUAUCGAAGAAAAACUAAUGCAAUAUAGAAGGGCCAGUAUUGGUUACAAGAGACGGUUAGUAAAACGCAAACAAUACUAUAAAAAAUUUCUCAGUACAAGCAACCAUCUGAAAAGAAGAGGUUUGUUUUCUCCAGUAUGCUGAUUGCAGCUCCAAACAAAGGACUUUGGCAGAUUAGAGGGAGACUAGGUUGUUUACAUACGGAAAGCAUCGAUAAUGAAUGCAAGCUUCACUGCUCAGCAAUUUUGUUGCACAGGAAUUGAAAUCGUAUGGAACGUUCUUUAUGCACAAUCCGCCUCCAUUAUAUCACUCUCAACAUGUAAAAUUGAUUAGCUCCUUCCUACAUCCCCGACAAUUUUACUCUCUGUUUCUCUGACCACAUUCUGAUUUGGCUUUUCAUUUGCAUUGUAUUUGAGUGGGCAUUAACCAAAAUGUUUAACCUUAUUAUAUUACCAGUUACAUCAACCUUACAAAGCUUUCCACUAAAAGCCCCCAAGAAGCCAUGAGUGUCGUUGCCUUGAAGGAGCGGUGACCUCUCCUUUGGUUAGAUCAAAAUCAAGAAUAUUACCAGUUGUCAUCCAGUAAAUAAUGCCAUUCACAUGGACCCCUGAUUUUGGCAAUACUUUCUAGCUCCAAUAUAAUUUUGUACUCUGCUAUAAAGUUGAGCAACGGUGGUUCAAAUAAGAGCACAAUUGUUGGAUUUGAUCCAUGAUUAGCAUUUGAUUUUUGUUCUUAGAUUACAUGAACUGACAUUCAUUCUCUGUACUAACUCUAACUUGUUAGUAUUGUGGUUCUUAGAAUAGAAACUAAUUCAUGACACCUAUAGCUUUAACUUUAUAAUUUGACUCAGUGUUUUAAGUGGAAUCAGUGGUUUACAUUUCUAUCAAUGAAACAACAGUUCAGUAAAAUGUCCCACCAUUUUUAUUUGAUUGAUAUAAUACUUUGCUUUAUGACUUGAUAUUUUCUUUGGCAGGUAGAUAUAAUCAUUUUUAAUUUCUGAUUCUGAUACUUCUCCUAUUUUAUCUAAUGUUGCAGAAAAUGAAAGGAACUGGCAGAGGACGAGGACAAGGUAAAAGUGGAAGAGAUGGUGUAGGAAGUGGAUGUGGUAAUUUUUUAGAACACAAAAGUUUAUGAACUACGUCUCAACCACAAAUAUAACCAAUAAGAGUUGUUGAAAUAUCAUUAGAGACUGGACAAUAACCUAACCCAAUUCAAGGACGUCUAUAGGCAGAACAAAUAUCAAGUGCCCCUCUCCAAAGAACAUCUCCCCAGAUAUGAUCAUCAAGAAAUCUAGAAGAAAGUAUGCAACCCUCCCUAGAGGUUGAAACUGGUAUAGGUUAGUUCACGUCCCUCCCUUGUAGGAAACGAUUGAUUAAUGCUUUGCUGGUUUAUUCAUCUUGACAUUUUGGAAUAUUAGAAAGAUUUUGCACCCUCUAUUUAUUGAAACUUUUUGCAUUUGUUAGAGGAAAUCUGUUGGGUUUUUCUUUGAUAGCUGUUAUCAUCAUUAUAAUUUGAUCAACAAGAAUUGCUUUUGAUAGCAACAACUAUGAUAGCAGUGAAAACUUUGUUUGCUGCCAUCACUGCCUUGUUCACUUGAUCAUCUACCCUAUGUAUGAUAAUUGCAUUCUAUGCUUCCUUUCUACCAACCUGCAUAAAAAAAGCCAGAUCAUGACAAGUUAAUGUUUGAGCAGUUGCAUAUGUUUCAAUAUAAGUAGAUAUACUUAAUUGCAAGGUGCAGUCUGAGGGUAUUAAAUGAGAAAUCAACGACUAUAUGAAUUAUAUGAAUCUUCACUGAACAUGUUGGACUAAAAAUAAAUUUUACCUGAACGGCUCGAAGAACUACAUUAGUAAGUGGGGGAAAUGGAGUAUUGAGAUUGCCAGAGGCCCCAUUUACCGCACCUUAUGUCACCAUUUCUAAAUUUAUAAAUUUCGUAACCUUUUUAUUACCUUUAUGCCAUGACCUUCCAUAGCAGUGCUUGUUGGCAAAGUGAUAGCAAACAUAGAGGCUAGUGUGUCUUCAACAACGAAAAGUAUGCGUCAAUAGGUGCAAGUUGAUAUGAACCGAAAGUUGCAAGAAGAACGUGAACAAAUGACUGCCGAUUUAAAAAGGAAUAUGGAAGAAGAUUUGCAAAAACAAUUGGAAGGGAACAUGAACACAUGAAAGGUGAAGUAGACAAGAUGUUCCAAGAACAAAUGGCCGCUGUCAUGACUAGAAUUCAACAGGUACUUUAUCUUUUUCCUUCCUAACAAUUCUAUUCAGUUCUUUGAAAGUUUAGAGUUGUUGGUGCAUCAGUUGAUAUUGGUGGUGCCAUAAUUACGUAGUGUCAUUUGUGUUAUUGAGCCAGUCCAUUUGAGAAUUGAUGUAGAUUUGGAUUAAUUUCAAUGUCUUCUCUGGAAUUGAGUUGUUAUGUGAUGAUUGCUUUGCCGCAUAAAGAUCAAAACUAAUUUCAUUAGCAUUAGGAUAUAUAUUGUGGGGAGCAACUUGUUUUAUUCUUUUGUCAAGCUGCUGAGUUGCAUAAGCUCGAAAAAUAAAAUGGAAAUUGGGUGUUGCAAGGAUGUAGUGAAAAUUAUAGCAAAACAUAAGGAUACUUUUGGUUAAAAAACUCUUAGAUCCUUCCCAAUUCUCUGUUAUGUUGUGAGGAUCAGAGAAAAUUGCUUCUUCCUAAGCAUGUAAUGCAAUGUAAGCAUUCUUAGCCUAAAAUUCUCAAAAGAAAGUGAUGGAUUGAUGGCAAUAAUAUAUCACCACCAACAAACACAAAAGACUAAUUACAUGUAGAAGCAAACAAAAUCCCCUGAAGCUGGCAAUCUCAUUGUACAACUUUUGUAUCAAAUGCCUAUAGCUACGAGUUCCCUUUGUACAUUUCAAUUGAUUCAAUCUUUUUGGAGAUGAAUUAUGCAAAUAGGACACAAAUAUUUUUUCCAUACGUUUUAUGAGAAGGUCCCUAAAGAGAAUAGAUGCUAUAUUGUCACUGAUUCCAGUGCAUGAGGGAGGCAACAAUGACAUUUAAUUUCUAUACCACAUCCAAAUCGUCCAAAUUUGUUUGUCUUUGCAUCUAUGGGUAAUUUAUUAUAAUAUAGAGCCCUUCAAGUGAUGACUACUUGCUUGUUAGGGACCAUUUUAGCCAAACUUUUAGGUUUUUUCAGUUGCAUCCUUCUUAACUCUUAUUUGGUCCCAUAUUGAUGCUAUUGAGGAAGUACCAUUGUUAACGUUUUACUAAGUUUUCUUCAAUAGCCCCCGGAAAAGUGUACUCUAAUGUGCUCUAUAUCACCCCUUUUAUUAUGAGAAUUAGAGAUUGAUUGUGUGUUUUUCUAAUUACAGGGACAAGUUUAUUAAACAAGGGGCCAAUCAAGAAGAAGGUUGAAGGCGUACACUGGAAGUUUUUGCUUUUUGACCAUAAAUAUAUAUACAAUGGAAGUAUUUUUGGUUUUGGUUAUAUAUAUAUAUAUAUAACAACUGAAGUACUACUAUGCAGUUGAAUUUUUGGUAUUUAUAAUAUUUGACUUAAGAAUGCUUUUGUAUUAAUUUUGUGAAAUACUUUUAGAUGUUUUUAAUAGCUAUAUAUUAAUUUUAG
rnacentral:lncRNA from 1 species